rnacentral:rRNA from 1 species
UACAGAGGGUGCAAGCGUUGUUCGGAAUUACUGGGCGUAAAGGGCUCGUAGGUGGCCAACUAAGUCAGACGUGAAAUCCCUCGGCUUAACCGGGGAACUGCGUCUGAUACUGGAUGGCUUGAGUUUGGGAGAGGGAUGCGGAAUUCCUGGUGUAGCGGUGGAAUGCGCAGAUAUCAGGAGGAACACCGAUAGCGAAGGCAGCUCGCUGGGACGGUACUGACGCUGAGACGCGAAAGCGUGGGGAGCAAACAGG